rnacentral:rRNA from 1 species
AACGAACGCUGGCGGCAUGCCUAACACAUGCAAGUCGAACGAAACGUUCGGGCCUUUGGGCGCACGGCUGCGUAAGGCGGGGGAAGCUUCCCUUGUGUACGGAAUAACUCCCCGAAAGGGAUGCUAAUACCAGAUAAGGUCUUCGGACCAAGGAUUUAUGGCCUCUGGAUGGGCCCUCGUUGGAUUAGGUGGUUGGUAGGGUAAAAGCCUAGCAGGGCCACGAUGCAUAGCUGGUAUGAGAGGAUGAUCAGCCACGCUGGGGCUAAGACCCGGCCCAGACUCCUACGGAAGGGAGGAGAGGGGAAUAUAGGACAAUGGAGGAAGGGCUGAUGAAGCCAUGCCGGGUGAGAGAUGAAGGCCGUAGGGAUGUAAAGCUCCUUUACCCGGGAUGAUAAUGACGGUACCGGGUGAAUAAGCUCCGGCUAACUACGUG